AUUGAACGCUGGCGGCAUGCUUUACACAUGCAAGUCGAACGGUAACAGGCCGCAAGGUGCUGACGAGUGGCGGACGGGUGAGUAAUGCAUCGGAACGUGCCCAGUCGUGGGGUAUAACUACUCGAAAGAGUAGCUAAUACCGCAUACGAUCUAUGGAUGAAAGCGGGGGACCGUAAGGCCUCGCGCGAGUGGAUCGGCCGAUGUCCGAUUAGGUAGUUGGUGGGGUAAAGGCUCACCAAGCCAACGAUCUGUAGCUGUUCUGAGAGGACGAGCAGCCACACUGGGACGGGGACACGGCCCAUAGUCCUACGGGAGGCAGCAGUGGGGAAUUGUGGACAAUAGGGGGAAGCAUGAUACAGCAAUGCGGCGUGCAGGAAGACGGCCUUGGGGUUGUAAACUGCUUUUGUACGGAACGAAACGGCUCUGGUUAAUACCCAGGGCUAAUGACGGUACCGUAAGAAUAAGCACCGGCUAACUACGUG
rnacentral:rRNA from 1 species